CCAAUGUCAGGUCUCUACCCCCGAACAAUUAUGUUGGAAUAUGUAGGAUGGGGCUGCAGCACUUGUGCCUAUUAAAAGCUCCCAGAGUGAUUGGAAAAGAACAAUUAUUUCCAUAGGUUUUGGGGAACAGGUGGUGCUUGGUUACAUGAGUAAGAUCUUUAGUUGUGAUUUGUAAGAUUUUGGUGCAUCUACCACCUGAGCAGCAUGCAUUUGUAUUUUAAACUUAGCAUUUCUAAAACAAAACUUGUCUUCUUCACCUUCAGACUCCCCAGUAUGGGCUAAAGAGACCUUUCUGGCCUAUCCCCUGCUCACCUUUCCUGUUUCAUCUCUUACCACUCUUCUACAAGCACUCUUUUUUCCAGUCAUGUCAAAUAACUGCAGUUUCACGAACAUGUCACGUUUCAAAUGCCUCUAUGCUAUUGAAAACUACGUUCUGUCCCCCGAAACAUCCUUCUCCUUGGGCCUGAAUUUUUUGUCCCAAAACAUUCCUUCCUCAACCCUCCAAAUUUUUCUUGUGUAUCAUUUUCCUUAGGAAGGCUUCCUGCAUCUGAUGCCCUUCUGCUGUCUCUUAUAGCACCCCUUGGAAACUUCUGUUAUAGAUCGUAUCAUACUAAAGUGUAGCUGGUUGCUUACUUGUUUGUAUUCCCAGGUGAACUGUGAGCCCUUGGAAGUGAAGAAGUAUGUCUUUGAUGUCUGUACACCCAGGCCCUAAAAAAGUGCUUAACACAUAGUUUUCACUAUUUAUUUAUGACAAAUAUUCCACAUCCGUGAUUCUCUCUAGUCAAAACUUCUUUGAGACGAUGCUGUCGGCCUUGGCCAAUCGGAGAAUCGAAUCAUCUGACUCACCCAUCCUAUCGCCCCGCAGAUAGCAUAAGUUUUAAACUGGCCAUUAAACCUGCCCGUGACCUUGUCAGCCUCGGCCACGUUCAUCUGGAUGGAUGCGUGGUCCUUGGCACCGAUGAUGCGGUUGCUAGCGGAGCAUUUCCGCGGAACUUACAGGUCCACGAACUCGCCGGCGUUGUUCUGCAUUUCGAGGCUCCGCCUGCUGCCACCACACCGCGCACGCGAGAGAAAGCCGAGGGUUUGUCCUCUUAUGCCAAGUUAGGGCAGCCCUCAAAGCAGAUCUCGAAGGGAAGACGUCUACCGAGAGCGGAUUUUGAUGUAUCACUCCAUGAGACUGGUGCCUUUCUCUAGCCUGGAGAAUUCCAAGGGUGCAAAGCUGGCUGAAGCUAUUUGAGACGGCUGGUGAGGAUUUGGGCCAGCAGAGGGGUAAGCGUUCAGGACUCGCAGAGUUUGAAUGAGCAAGCAUGUCUGAGUGGACCCCAUGGAAAGCAUUCAGGCUUUAGUUGUCUUAAAACGGCCAUACCCAGAGCAAGUGUAAAGGCAGUUGUGGAAAAUAAUAUAAACCAGUUACAAUAGCAUUCUUGGAGUGCUUACCCAGGUACUAGGGAUUAUUUUAUUAAUCCUCACAACCACCCUAAAAAAGCAUUACUUUCAUUCCCAUUUUUCAGAUGAGAAAACGGAGGAGUGAGGUCGUUAUUUUCUCAAGAUCAUAGAAUUAGCAUGGUUCAUAACUGGUAUUUAAAUAGCAGAUCCUUGUAUGUAUUAGCUUGGUGUUGAUCCCAUCUAUCUGUGGUUGGUUCCCAGAUUUACUACCUCCAGCUUUGGUUUCAUUCCCUCCUGAACUCAAGACCUGUAUAUCCAACUGCUUACUUGAUAUUUCCAUUUGGGUAUGUCAUAGCCAGUGGAAAACACUGGGUAAUUUAUGAGGAUAAGAGGUUUAGUUGACCCACAGGUCCACAGGCUGUACAGGAAGCAUGGCUGGGAGACCUCAGGAAACUUAAAAUCAUGGCAGAAGGUGAAGGGGAAGCACUUGCUCUCCUCUCUGCCUAGAGGGCUAGAGGAAAGUUCCUGAUUGCAACUUACCGCUACCUUGCUCUUCCCUAUCUUGGUUGCUUGAGUCACGUCUCCUUUCCCUUACCUUCUCCCUUUGUCUGACAUACCCAGUUGCUGUAGAACUUGAAUCCAUUGACUUCUCUCCAUUUCCACUGUCAUUUUAUGAGUGCAACCCACAUCACCCCACUGCUUUUAUUCUUCCCUCUCAGCCCACUCUCCACAGUAGAGAGAGAAUUAUUUUCAUCUCCCUUUACUGGCUUGUCAUUUAUCUGGGAAUAAAAUCCAAACUGCACCACGGAGCCUUGGAAGGCCUGGCUGCUCCUCCCCUCGCAGUUCUCCAUGGCUCACUGGACUUUAGCAGCUCUGGCCUCCCUUCUGUUCCCUAGGAACCUUGGCCUUUGCACUUGUUCUCCUCUCUGCCUAGAGGGCUCUUUUUCUCAUCUCUUUGCAUAGCUGGGUCAUCCUCAUCCUUUAGGUCUCAACUGAAAGGUCACCUUCUCACUGCUACUCCCAGCUACUCAUUCUCUUUCCCAUGUUUAUCUUUGUCAUAGUCCUUCAAACAAUUGGUAAUUAAUUUGCUUAUUUUAAAAAACUUGUUUGUUAGAUGUGUUUAUCCUGUUUCCUCCUCCCAACUAUGAUCUAAGCUCUCUGAGAAGGGGCCUCACUUACCUUCAUGUUCAUCACUGUAGUGCCACAAUCUAGCAAAUUGCCUGGCAUAUGGAGGUGCUCAGCAAAUACCUGUUAAAUAAAUGAAUGAAUUUUUUUGUAAGUGUUUGUUGUAUAAAAGAAUGAAGAGAGAACCAAGUGCCAGAUGUCAUACACCAUAUAUAGUGGAUUUUUAACCUGGUUGGAGUGGGCAGAAUGUUGUGGGAGCUAAAACAUACAGUUAUCAUACUUAUGACAAUCGUAUCUCUUAUAGACAUUUAAAAAGCACCACCCAUACUUAUUCCAGCAUUCAAAAAAUAUUUAUUAUUUUCUUAUGUUCUAGGCACUAGGUUGGUGGCUGGAGAUGCGGUGAAAUAGACAUAGUCCCUCUCCUCAAAGCUUAUGGUCUAGCAUUCCUCCCUGGACAAGAGUAGGGAAAAGUUGGGAGAGGAGACAGAAUCAGGUCAAGCUUUCCCUUCUUCUCUAUAAUAUCCCUAGCAAGAUAUAUCAAUGUAGAAAUCUUAAAUAAAAUUUAUAAGAAAAACACAGAAAGAGUCUCCAAAGGCUAGCAAAAUGCCCAUCCUUUAAACAGAAUAAUUAGCAAAGAGAAAUUGGAGCAGAGCUUCGUUUAGAAAACAGUUGGUUUUUGGUAUGAAUUUGUCACUUUUCUAAUGUGAAAAAUAUAAGAUGCCAACGCCAAAACUGAAAGUCAGGACUCAAGAUACUUGUAUCCAUUUAGAAAUUACUAUAGCCCUGUUAUUCAGUACUUCUGCCAAUAUCAACUUCUAAUGCAAGGGAACUUGGAACAAUGGAGAAAACAGUGGAAAAGUUGGAAUUGGAUAACCUGGAUCAGAGUCCUUGCCCUGUUCCUACAGCUCUUUAGCCUUAAGGAUGUGUCCUAACCUUUUCCAGUCCCAGUUGACUUGUCCAUCUAAUGGGGAUGAAAAGAGAAUAUAUCUCAAGACAUUUUUGUAGAUCAAAUUGGCAAAUCCAUGUUAUGUGUUUAGCAUAGUGCCUGUCAUCUAGCAUACAGAAUAAUAUAUAGUAAUAAUAUAAUUAUAGUGAUAUAAUUAUUAUAUUAGUGAUUAUAAUUAUUAUAACUAAUAAUAUAGCACAGUAAUAAUAUAUGAAUAUAAUAUAUAAUAUUGCUAAUAUUGUAAUUUUUGGUGAAAUUUAUUAUAGUACCACCCAAAGUUAGGGACUGUCAUGAGGAAUAAAUGAUGUGUGCAUAUACUUUUGUGUAAAUACCUAUCACAGUGAUUGGAACAUAGCAGGGCUAAAUGAAUAGUUGUUGAAUAAGCUAAUGUAUUGGGGAAGCUACAAAGGGUAGAUUGUUAUACAAAUGCUUGUACUUCUUAUUUUUAACAAAAAUAGAUUGAGCAAUCAGAAUCUCUCUAUGAGCAAACAAAGGAGGUCAAAAGAUGCUCAAAAAUGUCCCUAUUGAUCAAGUAUGUUAUUAGAAUAUUUAGCAAUCAAUAGGGCAUGGAUGCUGCCCGACUGGAAUAAAUGCUGGCAGUAGCUCCUGAUGAGGGUCCUAAGGGCCCCAACUCUGCCAUGCAUUAUCCCUUUAGUUAGAAAUUGUGGAAAGGUCUUGGAGGGGUCCUAAGAGUGUACCAGAGAAGAGGAAGUGGUAGUAUGGGGUGAAGGUGUUUGCAUAGGAUAGCAGCCAUGUUCCAACAAGUACAAAGCAAUUUCACUAUCUUAAUAUCUGGUUUAGCUGUGCUGGUGCUUCUGAUCUAAAGUAGCUCUGCCCCACAAACAAAAUCCUACAUAACUAGAGUUGAAAAGAGAGACAAUAUAUCCUGUAUAUACUAUGUUCCUCAAUUCACUUCCCAUCCUAAACACAGGGACAAGGAUUUGUUUGCUUGAAAGUAAUGAUCUGUCAACAAACUGGGUCAAAGAAAAGACCCUGGCAGCUUAGCCUGAGGAGAAGGGUGCUAGUAUCACAUCACGCAUCUAUAAAAUGUGGGCCGCUUUUGGAAAUACGUGGGUGAGUUGCCAAUUGCAUCAGCCUAGCUGUUGCAGUUCUUGAUAAUUAUUAGUCAUCUUUGUUCCAGCAAAAUCCUCAUCAUUCUCAAUAGAUUAGAGGCUAAAUUUCAAAUCCACUUUAGUAAAAAUCUUUACAAUUGGACUGUUAGAAACCUUGCAUUAUUUGAACAAAAGUGACGUAUUUGAAGAUCAGUGGGAAAGUUGGAAAAUAAACCAAUUCCUGCUCACUAAUUAUUUUUUUAAAUGCCAUGAAUGGAGGCUUGGUUUCACUGAAUAUGCCUUUAAAGAUUUUUAAAUGUUUUAUAUCCAGUCAAGUUGAGAUUUUUAAGAACAUUUUUAAUAUGUAAUAAAAUUUUAUAAUGACUUUUUUCAAAAAAGUUAACAAAC
rnacentral:lncRNA from 1 species